GGUGUGUCCUGAAAUACAGAAUUACCAGCCGAAAUAGAGAAUUACCUGGCUGGUGUGGUUCUGGAGAGGGCCUAGGAGUGCUAUUCCGAGGGAGAACUUGAAGGUGCGACGUCGGAGACAGACACACACGUUGAAAUCAUUCCACCCAACAGUCAUGUUGGGGCUGCCGGGAAGGGCAUGGCCGGGUCAUUAAAAUCCCUCAGCCCCUGACCGUGAAUUCAUCCAAAGUGAGAGCAUCCUUGGUGGGCCUGGCUUAAUCAGUAGGAAGGAGUGUGAAGGUCAGUCUCUCCGUCCUCUGAUGGAGAGACCCGGCACGGCAGCUGGGGGUGCAGUCCCGUCCCUCUCUAGAUAAAGUUGGCUGGGGUCCGAGGGGUCCUUCCCCUCCUCCUGAGACUCACAGGCCGGUGCUCCUAAGUCCCUUCUGUGAUAAGUUCCCUGUGUCUCACCAAGUACCAUGCACAAGUAUGUGCAUAUCCCAGGGGGUGACCCUGCCUGACGCACAGCUUGAAGCACGCACGUGUGCAAGUUGUGUUCUCUGCUGACCGAUGCUUCUCUCGUCCCCUGCCACUCCAAUGCUCCUCCCAUCCCGAAGUCCGCAUGCACGGGCAGACUCCGGUGGGAACGUGGAUUCAUGGUGAGUUCUGUGAAAUGGGUUCUCAAGGCUCCUGGCUUCCAGAGGCCUCAGGGCAUCCUGCGAACGUCACAUGGUUGGGGGACCUCAUCUGGAGUCCGCAAGAAGCACAGCCUCUGCCCCUAAUUCCUCCUAACCGCGUGGCUUUGGCGCAUCCUUCUUUUCCGCGAUGGACAUGAUCCAGCCGACACGGCCGUGUUGUGAUGAGCACGAGUGGAACCGGCCCUCCAGAACCAUCCAAAAACAGUUGUUUCCCCAAGGCCCCUCUACCUGAGACGUGAGACACUAUCAACACACUGCACCUACCUUUGGCUACUGGCAGGUACAUAUUCCGGGUGAACCACGAAGUCUUUGUCCACGGACCCACGGCCGAGCGGAGCAAUGAGCGACAGGAGGUUCUCUGAACUGUUGAUUUUGGAGUUGCUGUUGAGAAGCCCUGCGCUCUUCAGAGUCUCAGCCGGUUACCCACGUGACCGUCUGCUCUUCUCCUCUCUGGAAGAGUUUAUGACCUUAGCAUUACUGCCAACAUUCCCAAAUCUUUACAGUAGGGGCUUUGUGUCAUUUCUAAGCUCUCUAUUCCGCAUUUGAUAGCAGAAAACUUGGAAAUUCAUAUGCUUGUGUUAUGGAAAUUUUUCUAUGACUUUUGUCUUUCUGUUUUUUUCUUUCAUGUUAUUUUAACUUUAUAAGACAUUGACUACGUGGACUCUUUAAAAGGAUCCAGUAAAUUACCUUUCUCAUAAUUUCCAUCUCUGUGUCUUGCAGCCUUAAUUUCUGGUAAAUUUACUUCUGGUAAAUUUCUUGAACUGUAGCUGUGACCAUUCAAUUCGAUUUUUUUAAAGACUUCCAGGUUGUUAAAAACUAAUUUUUAUUCUUUGAAUGUUUCCUUUUAGAAUCACAUGUUCUUGCUUCAUGAGUUCAAUCUGUUCUUAUCACUUGGAGAUUUAUUCUAGUUUUUAAAAAAAUCAUUUUGCUCUGUUUUGUUUCUCCAAGUGUCUCCACUCUGUGUAUGGUCUGGUGGUCAACUGAGGUCCUCCAGACCCCAGUGUCCCCAUGGCUGAGCUCCUUUGGCCCUAGGUUACAUUUGGCUGGCUUGUUUUCUUUCUUUCUUUCUUUCUUUUCUUUUCUUUUCUCUUCUUUUCUUUCUUUGUCUUUUUUGAAGACUUACUUAUUUGUUUUUUAGAGAGAGAGUGGGGGGAGGGGCAGAGGGAGACAGAAUCUCAAGCAGACUCCUAACUGGGUCCAGAGCCCCAUGCAGGGCUUGAUCUCACAACCUUGAGACCUGAGCCAAAAACAAGAGCCAGAUGCUUAUCCAGGUGCCCCUAGUUGGCUUUCUACAGACUCUCUUCUGCAAGCAAAGGCUCAAGAUUCCUCUCAGCUAAGGUAGACACCACGGCCCUCCCCUCUGGCUUCUGUCUCCCAGUACUCUCCAGGGUGGCAUGCUCUUAUGGUCUUCAGGUGCAUUUCUUUCUCUGAGCAGAUGGAGAAGACACGGAGUCGGUCCAGGGGUCCAGACUGCCAUGUUUACACAGAGGACUCCUGGAUUCAAUCUUCUGUCCCCAAAAGGUCCUCUUCUUAAUCCUAUGCAAUUUAGACUCCUUCUAUUUUAAUCCUGAGAAAUAACAAACCCAACAGAGAUUAAUGUUGGAAUUGUAGAGGUAAAUUUUAAAAAUACCAUGAGUAAGAACAUGUCAUGAACUUUGACUUUACCUGUCAUGGAAACUCAGCAGCGGUGCAUAGGAUAGCCACCCUUGGGCAAGAGUAGAAAGAUCGGUGACCAGGAGGAGACACCACCAAGCUCACCCUUCUCCCAGAUGGAGAUUACACGUGGGAGGGACCCACCGUCAGACAAAGACAUUCCCACGGUAUAUUGCUGCUGGAACAAUAUAGGCUUCCUUAACAAAUGGACGGCAUGCCUGUUUUCUGCUCUACCAGUUCUAAAAGAAGGGAAGAUCUGGAUCAUUCAGUAGUGGGCUAACUCAGCAGUUAAUGCGAUGAUCUAGCAUAUCGUAGCUUCCUAUGAGCAUCAAAAAUGAGGCAGCCAAAAAUUUUUAAGGAAAUGUACUC